rnacentral:rRNA from 1 species
AGAACGAACGCUGGCGGCAGGCCUAACACAUGCAAGUCGAACGCCUGUAGCAAUACAGGAGUGGCUGACGGGUGAGUAACACGUGGGAACGUGCCCAAAGGUACGGAACAACUCCGGGAAACUGGAGCUAAUACCGUAUGUGCCCGAAAGGGGAAAGAUUCAUCGCCUUUGGAUCGGCCCGCGUCUGAUUAGCUAGUUGGUGAGGUAAUGGCUCACCAAGGCGACGAUCAGUAGCUGGUCUGAGGAGGA